GCGGCCCUGAGUCACCGGUUGGAGAUGCGCGACCCCGGCCCGGGCCCGCGCUGCGGAGCCGCCUUUCUGGACUGCGCUCUGAACUGAGCUCUGGAACAGGGUUUAAGUAAAAGAAACGCUGCCGAGAGAUGACCUCCAGGGUCCCUCCAGCUGUGCCAUUUUGGACUUCCAGUUGUCUCCCUUGUCACAGUGCUCUCAGGCAUGGUCCCCUUCUCUUUAAAGCCGCUGAAGCCAGCACUCAGGUACAGAAAGGAGUCCAGAAAAGUUAAGUGAUUGGUCCAAAGACACACAGCUCAUGAUCACAACCAGAACCCAGGUCACCAACCCACUCCUCUGAUCCUCCAACACACUAUUCAACUGAGUUUAGGAAAAAGCAAAAUAUAAAGUCCAUAGACUCUACUGCCAUCACCCCCACCA